GGAAAGUAUUUUCUAUUACAUUAGGCGUACCCUUUUUUUUCUUUUUUUCAAUCUCAUUCUUCUCUUUCUCUCCAUUAUCUUGGCAGACCAAUUUUCCCCCAUUUUCAGAAAUCAGAGCUUUCACUAAGCUCAUGCAAAAUCGGAAAAGUCUUUAAAAAGACCAGCUACUCAAGAUGAGGUAUUUGAGCAUACACAUAUGAAGAAGCUAAAGGAUGGAACAAAGACAACUUGGAUCGAGCCACGGGCCGAGACAACCUAUAAUACUUUCAAACAAUCCUUGGAGGAGUUCAUUCAAAGCCAACCAACUGAUGAUCAAGGAAAGCCAAUCCAACCAUCCCAGGAGAAUCAUAUGGACUUGUGGAUUAAGGCGGCUGGUGGCGUACAUAAGGGAAGAGUUUACGGCCUUGGAUCAGAGUUUAGUUCUAGUCGUCGGUCUUUUGGAUCUGGUGGCUCUUCUUCUCAAGGUCCUUGAUUAAUCAGGAUGAGUUUGAGCUAUUGAAUAAAAGAAUAGCAGAGAUCACUGAGUUGUAUGCACAGGAAAGGGCUGCGCGGGAGGAGGAAAAGCGAAGGGAGGAAGAAGAUAGGAGGAGGGAGGAAGAGGAGAGGCAGAGGGAUGAAGAAAUGAGGCGAAAGGAUGCUGCAUUUACCCGUGUCACUGGUGACGUUGAAAGCCUCAAGGCCCAGCUAAACUACCUCUUAGCAUCUGGUGGAUUUCCUGUGCCACGUUCUCCAUCACGCUCUAACAAGACUAAGGAAUAGUUUCUUUUAUUAAUAUGAUUUUGGGUAGGACUAUGACGUUGGAUGUUAUGUAUCAAUUGGAUAAGAUUGAAUUCUUAUUUGAAUGUUUAGUUGCAUUAUCGGUUUCCAGUAUUUUUAGUUUUGGUUGGUUGUUAAUUAACGAAAUGGAUUGGAAGAUGCUGAUUUUUGUGUGUGAAUAUUUAAUUGUAUUUAGGUUGU